CUGUGUUUGUGAGGAUGUUUGUGUGGAUGUGGAACGAACCAGAGCGAGGACAGAGACAGACACAGAGAGAGAGAGAGAGAGAGAGAGAGAAAAUAGAGUGUGAAAGAGAGAGGAGGCAUCACUCUUUCUAUAACGUUAUCAAAUUAACUUGCCCUGUGUUCUGUUUCUUCCUGUGUGUGUGACUGGAGGACAAUCUGUCAGUCGGUUUUAUUUCCUGGAUCUGGAUGUACCAGGGGGGACGUUUCGUGACAUAACACUAAGCCCAGAGGACCAGACUAGGACUUCCUGUGAUGGGGAAGCAUUAUUCUCUAGGGGAGCACAAUUUCACCUGAUCAGGAACCCUCCACUGAUCGGUCUGAGCAGUUAGCGUUUUAAUCAGCGAGGACACAGAGGGUUUCGUCGACACAUUGACGUCAGAGACGUAUCAGGAAUUGUGACGGGAGAGGAGAAACAGAGGGGAGAGAUGUUGGCGCAGGGCGGGCCUUGGGCCCUGUCUGUCAUAUCACUGGUCCUGCUGCUGUGGCAAGAAGUGUCUGCUAUCGAUGUUCCUCUCGAUUCAAAGAUCCAGCAGGACCUGAAGCAGCCUCCCACCAUUAUGAAACAGUCAUUGAAGGACUACAUUGUUGAUCCCAGAGAUAACAUCAUCAUUGAGUGUGAGGCCAAGGGGAACCCCGUGCCAACGUUCUCAUGGCGACGGAACGGGAAGUUCUUCAACGUGGGGAAGGAUCCGCGGGUGACGAUGCGGAAGCGCUCAGGAACGCUGGAAAUCAGCUUCCGGAGCGGAGGGAGGCCAGAGGACUACGAGGGAGAAUACCAGUGUUUUGCCUCCAACGACUUUGGAACGGCGCUGACCAGCAAGAUCCUACUACGAGUGUCCAAGUCUCCUCUGUGGCCUAAGGAGGUGUUGGAGCCAGUGGUAGUAAGUGAGGGAUCUCCCCUGGUCCUGGCCUGUAACCCUCCUCCUGGCCUGCCCCCUCCGCUCACCUUCUGGAUGGACAGCGCCAUGAUGCCUAUAACCCAGGACAAGCGUGUGUCCAUGGGCUUGAAUGGAGACCUGUAUUUCUCUAACGUGCUGGCUAAAGACUCCCACACAGACUACAGCUGCAACGCCCGAUUCCUCUUCACACACACUAUCCAGCAGAAAAACCCCUUCACACUCAAAGUGCAGACCAAGGAGCCGUAUAAUGACACUUCCUCUGUCAACUCCACUGACCCGUACGGUGGUCGUAAGGUAGCAGUGACCACCCCUAACUUCCUCUCCCCCACGGGGACUGACAGCUCGAGGAUGGUGAUGAGAGGUGAAAAGCUAAACCUGGAGUGUAUCGCUUCCGGAGUUCCGACUCCCAGUAUAAAGUGGUUUAAGAAGGGGGGCGACCUGAACCAGAAGGUGAAGCUAGACAACUUCAAUAAGACUCUGCGUAUCGACAGUGUGUCAGAGGAGGACGCAGGGGAGUACAUGUGUAUGGCCAACAAUCAGAUAGGAAGCAUCCGACACUCCAUCUACGUCCAGGUUAAAGCGGCUCCCUAUUGGCUGGACCAGCCGUCCAAUCUGGUGUUAGCGCCGGAUGAGAACGGUCGUCUGGUGUGUCGGGCCAAUGGAAACCCCAAACCUCACAUCCAGUGGCUGGUCAACGGAGAGCCUAUCGAAAGCGAUAGCUCCUUGCCCAACCCUAGCAGAUCGGUGGUAGGUGACACCAUCAUGUUCCGCUCCGUUCAGAUCGGCAGCAGCGCUGUGUACCAGUGUAAUGCCUCCAAUGACCAUGGUUACUUGCUGGCCAAUGCAUUCGUUAGCAUACUGGACAUGGCCCCCAGAAUGCUGGGUCCUAAGAACCAGCUGAUAAAGGUGAUAGAGAACAACAGAACCUUCCUGGACUGUCCCUAUUUUGGCUCGCCACUUCCUGAGCUGCGCUGGUUUAAGAAUGGUCAAGGAAGUGGUCUAGAUGGUGGUCACUAUCGGGUCUACAUCAACGGGACCCUAGAGAUCAAGCGUGCACGGGCUGAAGACCAGGGGACCUACACCUGCGUGGCCAGCAACAUCCUGGGCAAGGAGGAGAACCAGGUCCGCCUGGAGGUCAAAGAGCCGACACGUAUUGUCAGGGCUCCAGAGCACCAGUCAGCCAUCAGAGGCACCAUGGCUCGUUUCGACUGCCGGGUCAAAUCAGACCUCACUCUGCCCAUCACUGUUACCUGGCUGAAAGAUGACAAACCCCUCUCCCUGGGAUCGAGGUUGAAGAAGGAUGAGGAUUCUUUGUCCAUCCCCAAUGUCCAUGAGGGAGAUGAGGGAACAUACACCUGCACUGUUAGAACAGAGAUUGACCAAGACACUGCCUCAGCACGCCUUACUGUGUUAGAGGACGCCUCCCUGUCUCCCUCACAGUCUAGUGUCUUACCUACAGACCGCCCUGACGCUCCCAUGGACCUGGAGCUGUCUGACCCUGAAGCACGCAACGUGCGACUCACCUGGAUCCAUGGAGAUGAUCACAACAGCCCCGUCACACUGUUCGUGGUUCAGUUUGAGGAGGACCGUUGGCAGUCGGGCAAGUGGCAGAACCUGUCUAGUUAUCCCGGAGACUUCAACUCGGUCAUCCUGGAGCUCUCUCCUUUCGUCAACUACCAGUUCAGAGUCAUCGCUGUCAAUUCUGUGGGCCAGAGCCGCCCCAGCCUCCCCUCGCAACGAUACCAGACCAGCGGAGCUCCUCCUGAUGUUAUCCCUAGUGGCCUGAAAGGCUGGGGCACCAAGAAGAACAACAUGGAGAUCAGCUGGGAGCCCUUGUUGGACACAGAGCGAAACGGCCCUAAUCUGAACUACUCGGUGUGGUGGCGACGGAAGGAUACGGGGGAGGAAUGGAGUAAUGUGACUACAGUGGGGACGAAGCACAUUGUCCACGACACAGAGACCUACGUACCCUAUGAGAUCAAACUGCAGGCUGUGAAUGACUUUGGACUGGGACGCGAGUCCAACAUCAUCAUAGGAUACUCUGGGGAGGACAAGCCCACAGCCCCUCCCACUGACCUGCGAGUGUCUAAGAUUGACAGCACCAAGGUCAAUGUCCACUGGACCCCGGUAGAUCCCAGCACUGUAUUGGGAGAGUUCAAGGAGUACAGGGUGUACUACUGGCGUGAGGGCAGCAUGGUGAAGGGUCUGCGUGUGAAUAAAGAGAAGAGGACUAAAGGGUUCUACAGUACCGUGGCCCAGCCUACUGGCAUACUGACAGACCUACAGCCAUACAGCCACUACCGCAUAUACAUGGUGGUCGCCAACAAUCGCUACGAGGGACCGCCUAGCAACCAUGUGGAGUUCCGUACCAAGGAAGGAGUGCCAGAAGCUCCUAAGUUCUUUAAGAUCAUCCAGAGGAGUACAGAUGUUAUCCACCUGGAGUGGGACAAACCCCUGGAGCCUAACGGCAUUCUGAUUGGAUACAAACUCAGAUACCAGACAGUGAACGGGUCACGUGUUGGCCUUAUGCAGAUGGAGAGUUUCCUACCUAACGUGACAACGUACACACUCCGUCUGCCCGAACGAGGCAUCCGCUAUAAGUUCUACCUGGCGGCCCUCACACAGGUGGGAGCAGGGGAGGUCUACGCUGAGGAGUCUCCACACUUCACCAAUGAGGAAGAUUUUUUCAGCUCAGUCGAGCCUACAGAUGUGUCCGUGUCUACAACUUUCCCUCCACCUCCUCCCACUUCUACCGCUGCUACUACAACCAUUAGUACCUCAACUACUACUCCCCCUACCACUACUACCACUACCACUACUACUAUUACUACUACAACUACUACCACUACUGCUGCGACUACUUCUACCACUCCUGUGCUGGUUACCAGCACCAAGCAAGCACAUACGAAUGUGUUGGUAGGCAUGGCUCCUGGGAGCGUGAUCUGGAACCUGACGGUGGAGCCUAACAGUAACUACGCUAACGUCAGCUGGAACCACAACUUCCCGGCCGGCAGCAGCGAGUUCCAGCUAGAGUUCACACUGGACAGCAACGGCAGUAUGUCAAGGGUACCUGUGAACCAGCCGCCCAUUAAGCUGGCGGGACUGAUCGAAGGGGCCAAGUACCACCUGAGGGUGUACUCCAACGAAUACCACAGCAUCACCAGCAAUGUUGUCACCUUUGAGACCAGCGCAGCCUACAGUAAAGAUCAGGUGGACAUUGCUACCCAGGGCUGGUUCAUCGGGCUGAUGUGUGCAAUUGCUCUCAUCAUCCUCAUCCUCCUCAUCGUCUGCUUCAUCAAGAGGAGUCGCGGAGGCAAAUACCCAGUGCGAGAAAAAAAAGAUCUCCCUCUGGACGCAGUGGAUCAGAAAGGAGAGGACGGAUCAUUUGACUACCAGUCCCACUGAUCUGUCUCCACUCAUUUUUCUCUGUGGGGAAUGAGACUCUCUCUGUCCACCUUUACUGAUUAAUUAACCCUCUAACUUAACCGUCAAGUCAGCUUACUCACUCUAAUCAUCCUGAUCCUACUUUAUUGAAAUGGUGCUAAAACCGAUGUCCUAAGUUACACAGGCAGGCAGAGGGUAUGUACACACUUAAAUGUGUAGCUACUGUUUGCCACCUACAGUGAGGCAGGGGAUCAAAUACUUUUUUCUCUCACUGUAAAUCCAUAACUAAAAUACAUAGAGAAGCAUCCAUACACAGCCUGUCUGGUGUGUAUUGUUGUGGUGGUAACACACAAAACCUUUGGUCUUUGGUUUCCAAGGUAGCAAUGACCUUUGACCUCUCACAUGACCAAAGCUAAUUCCUGGGUAGAGGUGAUGAUCAUAUUACCACUGACAGUGUCUUAAGAUCUUCAGAAGGAGAGGAAGUGCCCCUGUACUCAACCCCCAGUAACACCACACAACCUGUAACCCAAACCCCUAACUGUUCUUAUGAAUCUGAAAUGGAACAUGGCACCUUAAUUUACCCAAGCUUUGGGGGAACCUUCUACCUAGACCAGUUACAAUGGUUUAGUCAGGUAUAUUUACAGUAAUUUGAAGGGAUUUUAUUAGAUUCGCUUUUAGAAAGCAUUACGAGCAAUAACAAUUAUAUAUAUAAUUGUUAUUGCUGCACCUAUCCAUACACUGGAUAGGUGCAGUGAAUUGUGUCGUUUUACAGGGUCAGCCAUAAUAGUACGGCGCCCAAGGAGCAAAUAAGGGUUAAGUGCCUUGCUCAAGGACAUAUCGCCAUAUUUUUCAUCUUGACAUCUCGGGUAUUCAAACUAGCAACCUUUCGGUUACUUGCCCAAUGCUCUAAACGCUAGGCUGCCUGCCGCCCAGAAAACAAGCAUUACAAGCGUUACACCAUAAAAAAUUGAUGAAAUCAUUUGAACAAUGUUGUUGUAGGUGUUUAUUCUACUUGACAACAAAGUGCUGUGGUUUUAAAGUGUUAAGUGUUUUUAAAAGCACUUGGAUGUGCAGUGUGAUGUUCAAAGGCGAUAUCAACCAUUAUCACUUGUGUGUGAGCAGUGCUCUACUGUAAUGUUUAUACAAGUGUGUGAGGCAUGUCGACAAUGGAAAACCAAAGCAAGUCCCUGCUCUCGCCUCUAAUCAAUGUUUAUUAAUAUUACCCUCUUUUCUACAGCGAAGGUCAUCGCUAAGCUCACACCGUGACACACACUCAAUAGCACUGGCACUAAUCCCUUUGUCUACAUAACUCCCACGUUGUGUUGGUGUAUGUGUACGUGCAUGUUUGGGCGUCUGUGUGUGUGUGUGUGUGUGUGUGUGUGUGUGUGUGUGUGUGUGUGUGUGUGUGUGUGUGUGUGUGUGUGUGUGUGUGUGUGUGUGUGUGUGUGUGUGUGGCGUGUAUGUGUGUGUGUAGUCUCUGGCUCUCAUACGCUUGUGUGUCACCUGGAGGAUGUCUCCUUCCUCCCUUCCCUCUCUCUUGCUCUCUACUCUCUCUCCUAUCUUCACGUCUCUUCCCUCUCUUCUCCACGCUGAAAUGGUCAUCUGUCCCUGACAGGAACGAAAAUGAGAACGAAAACGAGAACAGUUGUUCCUUCAAAAGCAGCGACGAGGACAACAAGCCUCUGCAGGGCAGCCAGAACUCUCUGGACGGCGGGGUGAAGGAGAGUGACGACAGCCUGGUAGACUACGGCGAGGGAGGGGAUGGCCAGUUCAACGAGGACGGCUCCUUCAUUGGCCAGUACACAGUCAAGAAGGACAAGGACGAAACAGAGGGCAACGAAAGCUCUGAGGCCACCUCACCCGUUAACGCCAUCUACUCGCUGGCAUAACCCCCCCGCCCGCCUCGGCCUGGGGAUCUGAGGAGCUCCCCCUAGCGGUCGGAGGGUGCUAUUACCACCACUACUACUACCACACACACACACACACACACACACACACACACACACACACACACACACACACACACACACAGAUAUGAAUAUGAAUAUAUAUAUAUGAAUCUAUGAAAACACGCAUACACACGUAAACACACAGCGCCUGCCUGGAGACUGUUUGGCCUCUUUCAGCGGACGGAGAAACCAUUCCUCUGAGAAAUAAGGGGGUGCGAAUGGAAUGGAAUGGAAGCUAUCAUAUACAGUGAGCCAAGCCUUUAUUGUCAGCUCCAGAAAAUUUGCUUGCCGAGGCAAAGUUUGGGAAUCUUGAACAGUACCAGUUUCUCUAUGCUCCUCCUCCUCCUGCCCAUCACACAGACUUUAGUGUGCCUAAAGAGCUGGCCUCAAGUAUAGAGGACUAAGAGGCAACGCAGAGGUUUUCAAGCAUUUUGUGUGGCACUAGAGCUUUUUUGUUUUCAACGUCCUCAGCUUUUCCCGCAACCCCCCUCUUCCUCCCACACAUAUCACGCCCCCUGUGUCUUUACCCAGCAUUCCUAAGGAAGGAGACACAGACGCUCCUCCUGUGAACAUAUCAGCUACGGACCACCAACAUAGCAGGAUGUCAGCAGAUAUGUUUAUCAUAUUGAUAUUUCCGCAAAGAGAGAUAAUUCUGGUACAAUAGACGAGUCAUUAGAAUAUAUUAAUGCUGUAAACACUGCUAGCUCACCUUCUAGUGCGCUGCAAAACUAUGCACUACCACCACCUCAUGUUUUUGGGUAAAGUCUGGUUAUGAAUUCAAUUAUUUCUUUUUGUGUUGUUUCUCACAGGUUUAAAGAAGAAUAACUUGCUUAAUGAAAUGGUAUCGUUCCCUCCCCAUCCCGCUGUGGUAAAUGUACUUCUGUUUCACCUCCAAACUCAAGUUGUGUGGAGAUAUUCAAAAUGGCCACAGCUAUAGCAAUGCCAUUCCUGCCUCAAGCUUUGUUAUUGUACAAGCCUAUACUAUGUCAGUUAUAAAUGACAUUUGAAGAAAAUAUUUUUUUCAAGCAUGGUAGUACUUUAGUGCAAGAGACAAAGGAAAAGUAGCUUGGAGAGGAGGUUUGCUCUGCUUGGUAAACUGCUACAGACUGUCUGUCCAUCUCUAUGGCGAAUGCUGCUGCAAGGAGGUGACUCACUUCUUGUUCACUUCCUGUUUAGCAUGGCUGUGAUCAUUAGGCUAGGCUUGAUCGGCACCUCUUUUGUCUGCUUAUUUUAUAACUGAUCUCGUUAUGGGACAGGCAGAAUCUGUAGAGGCAUGUCUUCACCUUCAAACCUCUGGAAAUUAUUUGAAAACAUAAUUGACUCUUGAAGUCAAAAUUAAACGAAAUACUGCUACAAAACAUAUUUCAUGUCUUUGAAUAUAGGAUACAGAUAACUCUGUGAAGGUAAUGAACGUCCCUGCAGAUUCCACCUGGCCCUAGUCAUCAUUGUCAUACAAAGCCAGUAUGUCAAGGAAGUGUGAAGAAGUUAGAGUGCAUCGAUACUAAUACAUUGGUGGACCGCCAUUUUACCAUUUGAUCCUUUCAAUAGUAGAACUCAUUCAUGAGUCUUCCUUGAUGUUUCACCUCUUGAAGCGGUAGAAAGCUCAGAACCCACUUUUACAACUGAUUACAACAGCAUUACUAAAGUCUUUCACGUUAAAUCAAAUAGAUCUUAGCUAACAAAUUGCAAUUAGCUAACAGAGGUCACAUUGUAUUUCAGAUAACUAUUUUAUAUUUUAAUUUAUUACAUUAUGUCGAUAGUGUUAAUUCAUAUAAUAGUAAUUCAUUUAUUAAUUGUUGAAUACACAUUUUUGACCAACUGAAUUAAUGGUAUCACAUCAGAACCCACUCUGAAAGCCACGAUAAAGAACUUAACGGGAUUUGUUAUUGUACAUAAGAAAAGGAAAAUCUGCUGUAUGACACAUCUUUUGUUGCUAUGGGUAUUUUUCUGUAAACUAACAACAUUGACUGUCACCAUUAAAGACGUGUUGAUCUAUUCAUUGUGAUGCUCUUCAUGUUGAGUAUUCAUGUUUGUAUUACUGUUAUUAUUCCAUGUUGGUAUUAGAAUUUAUUUAAUAUAACUUUAACUUAACACAGAAAUGUAACGUUGCUUAUUUGUUUGACAUACUGUAACUGUACGUACAUGUAAGUCCUGAAACAAUAUGUCUUUGUAAAUAUCUAUCAGAAAAACUGCUUUAUGAGUAAAGAAAUAGUCACAAAUCUGUAUCCACCAAGCAAAUGUACCUGGUGCAUCCCAAGAAUGAUGUCAUGUGGACCUUUGCAAUGUAGCUUUGAUUAUGAUUGGGACUCAAAAUUACUCAAUUGAUGUUGUCCCUAAGAACUUGCUUUGAAAUUGUAAUAUAUGGCUUGUGACUUGUCUAUCGGUCCGUCACUUUUCUGAUCAUCACUAAUUCAAAAGAAACAGUUGAGAAUAAACACUAUGUUGUGGAACAGGUAUACAGUAGUCAGCCACUUUAUGGUGUAAAUAAAAAGUGCUAAUGAAAUGUGUUGUUGUAGCAAACUGCACACACCUGUUCAAUAGAUAUGAAAGAAAAAGCAUUUGCUGAGGUAACGGAUAGCCAAUUUUCCCCUAAUUUGUUUGUUUUUGUAUUGUCGUCUCUUAAUAAGGCAACCCCAGACUUUCUCAAGGCUGCACAGACUCAUUCUCCCAUCAUGCCAUUCACCUAACAUGCCUGCUGCUCCACUCCUCCUGGUGACAGCACAGUGGCUGGUGGCCAUUUUGACAGGGACAGAUUUGGUUGUGUGCUUCACUUCUUUAAAGAUAUGUCUUGUGUUCUGCCUUCCUCCUCAUCUUAGACUUAAACAAAUGGAAUAUACUGUAUGGCCAUCAACAUCCUCUGUGAAUGGGUCCUCUUUAAACCUUCUUUCUCCAGUAUGUCAAAGCAAGUUUUGACCCAUUUGUUUUUCAUGUUGUUUCUUUGUGGUAAAGUUCACCGUGACCACUGGGUAGUGACUACAUUAGCCUACCAUGCACAGACACCUGACCACUAUAAACAUGAGGACACAGGAGGCCAGGAGUGCUGGCAGAGACACAAUACAGUGCCUUUCCUGUUGCUAUAUGCUCUCCUCAACAAGACAAAGUGCACAGAAAAACAGUCCAAUCACAAACCUCCAACAACCCUUAAAAACGACUGAAUCACAGAAUGUUCGAUGACGGAUUUAGCCUUGAACUCACCGUUGUUUGAGUUCUGUACAAGCCCUUUCCCCUGACAGCCUUUCUCCUUUCCCUGUAUGGAUCCUUAAGGGGGAAUUAGUGAACUGGCUAGAAAACAGAAAAUAUAAUAAUGCAUAUUUGCUGAUACACAGUGCUUUCUUAUGUAUUUUAAUUUGUUUGUGCGCGUUUACUGGAGGUGCAUAAGGAGUAGUGUUUUUUUAUUCUGUUUGUAAUGUGUGUAUCAUCGACACUACUCCUCCCUUACAAUAGCAAAUACGUUUUAAACUAUCAAGGGGUAACAAAAAUGUAAAAGUAUCAAUGUGCAUUUUCACAGCUUUGAGUUCACUUGAUUUGAGAUUCUGCAAAACUGCGAUUUUAUUCUUCAACGUGAUGCCCCAUAACAAUUAUAAAAUUGGCGCAUGUAUUGUAAUUGUUCAUGUUCUUGUUAUUUGAAAUUAUUUUAAUUUCUGCAUUUUACUUUUACAAUUAUAAGUGUAUCAAAGCAGCUCGUCCGUCAAGCCUCUACACGCAAAAGAACAGCUUUUGUAAGGUACAUCUAAUCAACGGAGAAAUGGCAUAUUAAUAUAUUCACAAUGUAUGCGUGUAUGAUGAGAUGUUGCAACUUCUGCUAGAGACGCCUUCUUUAUAGUAAAGCUAUCUCUUUUUCUCUAA